GGUGAACGCUGGCGGCGUGCCUAACACAUGCAAGUCGAGCGGUGCAGUUUGGAGCUUCGGUGGAAAGCUGCAUAGCGGCGGACGGGUGAGGAAAACGUAGGAACGUGCCCCUUGGAGUUGGAUAGCCACGGGAAACUGGUGGGUAAACCGACAUAGACUCCGAGAGAGUAAAGGCCGAAAGGCGCCAAGGGAGCGGCCUGCGGCCCAUCAGGUAGUUGGUAGUGUAAAGGACUACCAAGCCGACGACGGGUAGCCGGUCUGAGAGGAUGGCCGGCCACAAGGGCACUGAGAGACGGGCCCUACUCCUACGGGAGGCAGCAGUGGGGGAUUUUGGACAAUGGGCGAAAGCCUGAUCCAGCGACGCCGCGUGGAGGACGAAGCCCUUCGGGGUGUAAACUCCUUUUCUCAGGGAAAAAGGAUGAUGGUACCUGAGGAAUAAGCCCCGGCUAACUACGUG
rnacentral:rRNA from 1 species